GGUUAAGUUAGAAAGGGCGCACGGUGGAUGCCUUGACACUAGGAGUCGAUGAAGGACGGGACUAACGCCGAUAUGCUUCGGGGAGCUGUAAGUAAGCUUUGAUCCGAAGAUUUCCGAAUGGGGAAACCCACCAUACGUAAUGGUAUGGUAUCCUUAUCUGAAUACAUAGGGUAAGGAAGACAGACCCAGGGAACUGAAACAUCUAAGUACCUGGAGGAAGAGAAAGCAAAUGCGAUUUCCUGAGUAGCGGCGAGCGAAACGGAACAUAGCCCAAACCAAGAGGCUUGCCUCUUGGGGUUGUAGGACAUUCUAUACGGAGUUACAAAGGAACGAGGUAGACGAAGCGACCUGGAAAGGUCCGUCGUAGAGGGUAACAACCCCGUAGUCGAAACUUCGUUCUCUCUUGAAUGUAUCCUGAGUACGGCGGAACACGUGAAAUUCCGUCGGAAUCUGGGAGGACCAUCUCCCAAGGCUAAAUACUCCCUAGUGAUCGAUAGUGAACCAGUACCGUGAGGGAAAGGUGAAAAGCACCCCGGAAGGGGAGUGAAAGAGAUCCUGAAACCGUGUGCCUACAAAUAGUCAGAGCCCGUUAACGGGUGAUGGCGUGCCUUUUGUAGAAUGAACCGGCGAGUUACGAUCCCGUGCGAGGUUAAGCUGAAGAGGCGGAGCCGCAGCGAAAGCGAGUCUGAAUAGGGCGUUUAGUACGUGGUCGUAGACCCGAAACCAGGUGAUCUACCCAUGUCCAGGGUGAAGUUCAGGUAACACUGAAUGGAGGCCCGAACCCACGCACGUUGAAAAGUGCGGGGAUGAGGUGUGGGUAGCGGAGAAAUUCCAAUCGAACCUGGAGAUAGCUGGUUCUCCCCGAAAUAGCUUUAGGGCUAGCCUUAAGUGUAAGAGUCUUGGAGGUAGAGCACUGAUUGGACUAGGGGUCCUCAUCGGAUUACCGAAUUCAGUCAAACUCCGAAUGCCAAUGACUUAUCCUUAGGAGUCAGACUGCGAGUGAUAAGAUCCGUAGUCAAAAGGGAAACAGCCCAGACCGCCAGCUAAGGUCCCAAAGUGUGUAUUAAGUGGAAAAGGAUGUGGAGUUGCUUAGACAACUAGGAUGUUGGCUUAGAAGCAGCCACCAUUUAAAGAGUGCGUAAUAGCUCACUAGUCGAGUGACUCUGCGCCGAAAAUGUACCGGGGCUAAAUACACCACCGAAGCUGCGGAUUGAUACCGAAUGGUAUCAGUGGUAGGGGAGCGUUCUAAGGACAGUGAAGUCAGACCGUAAGGACUGGUGGAGUGCUUAGAAGUGAGAAUGCCGGUAUGAGUAGCGAAAGACGGGUGAGAAUCCCGUCCACCGAAUGCCUAAGGUUUCCUGAGGAAGGCUCGUCCGCUCAGGGUUAGUCAGGACCUAAGCCGAGGCCGACAGGCGUAGGCGAUGGACAACAGGUUGAUAUUCCUGUACCACCUCUUUAUCGUUUGAGCAAUGGAGGGACGCAGAAGGAUAGAAGAAGCGUGCGAUUGGUUGUGCACGUCCAAGCAGUUAGGCUGAUAAGUAGGCAAAUCCGCUUAUCGUGAAGGCUGAGCUGUGAUGGGGAAGCUCCUUAUGGAGCGAAGUCUUUGAUUCCCCGCUGCCAAGAAAAGCUUCUAGCGAGAUAAAAGGUGCCUGUACCGCAAACCGACACAGGUAGGCGAGGAGAGAAUCCUAAGGUGUGCGAGAGAACUCUGGUUAAGGAACUCGGCAAAAUGACCCCGUAACUUCGGGAGAAGGGGUGCUUUCUUAACGGAAAGCCGCAGUGAAUAGGCCCAAGCGACUGUUUAGCAAAAACACAGCUCUCUGCGAAGCCGUAAGGCGAAGUAUAGGGGGUGACACCUGCCCGGUGCUGGAAGGUUAAGGAGAGGGGUUAGCGUAAGCGAAGCUCUGAACUGAAGCCCCAGUAAACGGCGGCCGUAACUAUAACGGUCCUAAGGUAGCGAAAUUCCUUGUCGGGUAAGUUCCGACCCGCACGAAAGGUGUAACGAUUUGGGCACUGUCUCAACCAGAGACUCGGUGAAAUUAUAGUACCUGUGAAGAUGCAGGUUACCCGCGACAGGACGGAAAGACCCCGUGGAGCUUUACUGUAGCCUGAUAUUGAAUUUUGGUACAGUUUGUACAGGAUAGGCGGGAGCCAUUGAAACCGGAGCGCUAGCUUCGGUGGAGGCGCUGGUGGGAUACCGCCCUGACUGUAUUGAAAUUCUAACCUACGGGUCUUAUCGACCCGGGAGACAGUGUCAGGUGGGCAGUUUGACUGGGGCGGUCGCCUCCUAAAGUGUAACGGAGGCGCCCAAAGGUUCCCUCAGAAUGGUUGGAAAUCAUUCGUAGAGUGCAAAGGCAUAAGGGAGCUUGACUGCGAGACCUACAAGUCGAGCAGGGACGAAAGUCGGGCUUAGUGAUCCGGUGGUUCCGCAUGGAAGGGCCAUCGCUCAACGGAUAAAAGCUACCCCGGGGAUAACAGGCUUAUCUCCCCCAAGAGUCCACAUCGACGGGGAGGUUUGGCACCUCGAUGUCGGCUCAUCGCAUCCUGGGGCUGUAGUCGGUCCCAAGGGUUGGGCUGUUCGCCCAUUAAAGCGGUACGCGAGCUGGGUUCAGAACGUCGUGAGACAGUUCGGUCCCUAUCCGUCGUGGGCGUAGGAAAUUUGAGAGGAGCUGUCCUUAGUACGAGAGGACCGGGAUGGACGCACCGCUGGUGUACCAGUUGUUCUGCCAAGGGCAUAGCUGGGUAGCUAUGUGCGGAAGGGAUAAGUGCUGAAAGCAUCUAAGCAUGAAGCCCCCCUCAAGAUGAGAUUUCCCAUAGCGUAAGCUAGUAAGAUCCCUGAAAGAUGAUCAGGUUGAUAGGUUCGAGGUGGAAGCAUGGUGACAUGUGGAGCUGACGAAUACUAAUAGAUCGAGGACUUAACCAU
rnacentral:rRNA from 3 species